UAUCUCAAAUAAAACAGGUGUCAGAGC
rnacentral:sRNA from 1 species